UAUGCCGCCAGAAAAGCUGAAAUAAAGGGGAAAAGGAAAACCGGAAAACAUCACUGGAGGGAACACUUGUUAUCGGAACAAGAAACGCUUAUUGGGAAAAUAUCACCAGAAAAGAGAGCAUUGCCGCUAUUAGAAGUGUUUUCAAUCCCACUGUCAUUAGAGAAGAGAAUGCUUGUUGCCGAUGCCGGAGGAGACAAACAAGGUCCCUAAUGGCUGGGAAAAACGUCUUGAUUUGAAGGUA